CGGGCGGGGAGCUGUCUAUCCCUGUUCCCCCCCCAGCUGGCGGUGGAGGUGGUACGGGCGGUGGGUCAGUCGGUGUCAGGUGCCCGCGGACACGGGACGGGCCGGGGGAGCCGCGGAGGCCUGGCGGCUGUGCUGAGCCCUCACUAUGAACGCUAUCGUCGCCCUGUGCCAUUUCUGUGAGCUCCACGGCCCUCGCACCCUGUUCUGCACCGAGGUCCUGCACUCGCCUCUCCCGCAGGGCGCCGGCAGCGGGGACAUCUCCGGGCAGAAUGAGCAGGCGGAAGAGGAGGAAGGUGGGAUUCAGAUGAGCAGCCGGAUCCGCUCGCACAGCCCGGCUGAAGGGGCCAGCGCCGACUCCAGCAGCCCAGGGCCAAAGAAAUCAGACAUGUGUGAGGGCUGCCGCUCUCUUGCAGGAGGACACCCGGGGUAUGUCAGCCACGACAAAGAAACCUCCAUCAAGUACGUCAGCCACCAGCAUCCAAACCACCCCCAGCUGUUCAGCAUCGUGCGCCAGGCCUGUGUCCGCAGUCUCAGCUGUGAGGUCUGCCCAGGACGUGAAGGCCCUAUUUUUUUUGGAGAUGAACAGCAUGGUUUUGUGUUCAGCCACACCUUCUUUAUCAAAGACAGCCUGGCCCGAGGUUUCCAGCGCUGGUACAGCAUCAUCACCAUCAUGAUGGACCGGAUUUACCUCAUCAACUCCUGGCCUUUCUUGCUGGGAAAAAUCAGAGGCAUUAUUGAUGAGCUCCAGGGCAAAGCACUGAAGGUGUUUGAAGCAGAGCAGUUUGGGUGUCCCCAGCGAGCCCAGCGCAUGAACACGGCCUUCACCCCCUUCCUGCACCAGCGCAACGGGAACGCCGCUCGCUCCCUGACAUCCCUGACCAACGACGAGAACCUCUGGGCCUGCCUGCACACCUCCUUUGCUUGGCUUCUGAAGGCUUGUGGUAGCCGACUUACAGAGAAGCUUCUGGAGGGAGCACCCACAGAAGACACCCUAGUUCAGAUGGAAAAACUUGCAGAUCUGAAGGAAGAGUCAGAAGGCUGGGAUGGUUCUGAGGAAGAGAAGCCUUCUUCCCAGCCAGAUGUUGGGGAAGGGCAGGAGCUGUCCAAAAGCUCCCCUGAAACAUCUCUGAUGCCAGAUUGCAACAGCUGGAACGUAGCUCACAGAAGGUUGUCUGUCUUUCGCUCUCUCAGGCACAUGAGACAGGUUCUCGGGGCAUCAGCAUUCCGAAUGCUGGCUUGGCAUGUUCUGAUGGGGAACCAGGUCAUCUGGAAAGCUCGGGAUAUGGAUCUUGUCCAGUCUGCCUUUGAUGUCCUACGGACGAUGCUGCCCAUCGGGUGUGUGAGGAUCAUCCCCUACAGUGACCAGUAUGAGGAGGCCUAUCGGUGCAACUUCCUGGGCCUGAGCCCACACGUCCAAAUCCCACCCCACAUCCUGUCAUCUGAGUUUGCAGUCCUUGUGGAAGUCCGUGCUGCCACCCGCUCCAGCCUCUACCCAACCCUGUUUGAUGAUGAGCAGUCCCUCAACAAGUACGAGUUUGUUGUCACCAGUGGGAGCCCCGUUGCAGCAGAUCGAGUUGGCCCAACAAUCUUGAACAAGAUUGAAGCUGCCCUGACCAACCAGAACCUCUCUGUGGAUGUUGUGGAUCAGUGCCUUGUUUGCCUGAAGGAGGAGUGGAUGAACAAAGUGAAAGUCCUCUUUAAAUUCACUAAAGUGGACAGCAGACCCAAGGAGGAUACCCAAAAACUGCUGAGCAUUCUGGGAGCUGCAGAGGAGGACAAUGUCAAACUUCUCAAGUUCUGGAUGACCGGCCUGAGCAAGACCUACAAGUCCCACCUGAUGUCAACAGUUCGCAGCCCGACGUCCUCAGAGUCCCGGAAUUAAAGGGUGCCCAACCUCCCCUGCUGCCUUCAGAGAAGGGCAGGGAACCCUGGUUACCUCUGCUGAGCCUGCAGCAUGUGCUUUAGGUGGAUAGUGAGGCUUCAUCACUAUUCUCCUGGUCCUCAAACCAACUUGAAGAGUGACUUGAGUCUUUUCUACUUGCUGUGAGACUGGACUAAUAAGUGCUAAUCCACAGUGCUGCUGUCUCUCCUGGAACUCAGCUCUCAAUCUAGACGUGCACACUCAAGACUAAAACACAGCAAUGCUCCAAGAAUCAGUUAAAUUAAUUAAAAUCCCAUCUUGUCCUCAUUAAGCAUCAUGGUGUGGCAGCUGGCCUCACCUUUAGAUUCCUUGGCAGGCCUGUGACAACAUCCAGAACUCCUGGGAGUGCAUAUGGUUAAUCUCACUGAAAUCCCACAUAAAUCUCCUAAAUGCUUGAGAGAACAAGAACCAAAAAUAAGAGGCACGUCACAGGCUCUCCCAAGCAAUCCAACAUCAAAACCUAACCUCGUGGUUCCUUCCAAAACAGCAAAAGGGUUGGUCACAAGGUCAAGCCCGAGGCUGCUGCUGCUGCCUUGCUCUUGGAAAGAAGGGGGAGAGCUGAACCCCAGCUGUGCUUGCCUGCCAGAACACAUCCAGACGUGGGAUUACAGAUGAUUGCCUGGGCAGGUUCCUGCAGCUCGCAGGUGAGGCCGCGGCUGCUCCCUUUGCCGUCAGCGAGAGCUGGAAUGUUCACAACUUAAUUAACAAAAAAAUCAUGUCUGCAGACAUCUUUCACCACCCUCCUUCCCUCCAAACGAUACGCCUUAGAGACAAACUGAUUGAGGGAGGAGAAUUCUUUAUUCCAGUGUGGUUUCUGCCUGGCUGAGCAGCGUGUAGCUGCGAGCAAGGUGGGAGCGGUGAGUGCUGCAGCUGCCGUGUGAUGGCUGCAGUUACAGACAAAACCUUUUUUGUGCCAAUUUUGCCACCCCUGUGCCCUCAGCCAAACGGGGCCCAGCAGGUGAUUGUCCCCCUCUAUUCUGCCCUCAUGAGGCUCCACCUGCAGAGCUGCCUCCAGCUCUGGAGCCCACAACAUCACAAGGACAUGGAGCUGAUGGAAUAAGUGCAGAGGAGGCCACAAAGAUGCUCCAACAAGGGUUGAAGCCCCUUUGCCCUGGAGCCAGGCUGGGAAAGCUGGGGGUGUUCACCUGGAGAAGAGAAGGUUCCAGGGAGAGCUCAGAGUCCCUAAAGGGAUUUGAAGAGAGCUGGA